CCUUGUAUUCUCUACCUAUCAAAUGAGAAGGUGGGACGUGAUUGUGAAGAUUCCUUAUAGGUCCACCUAGACGUGAUUCUAUUCUAAAACCGUCUACAUUUCCAGACCCCUCCCCAAACCCAGUGGGCAUGGCAGCCAUUCUCAGGGCUGAGAGCAACUCAGGGGACCCAUGGUGAGAUGGAAAAAUGUUGUUUGCCACUAGAAGGACAGAGUGAGGAAGUUUCAUCAGUGGACUAAGAUUUGUUGUCAAAGUUUUAAAUGUUAUAUGAAGAAUACUUGUUUAAUUAAAAGUCUUGAUUUUGGGGGGAAACUGUUACUUCAUAGAGCAUUAGCGAGGGAAAGAUCAUUUUUUCAAACUAUUUUAUUUUAUUAUUUUUUAAAAUUGAAGUAUAGUUGAUUAAUAGGAUGUUAGUUUCAGGUAUACAGCAAAGUGAUUCGGUCAUAUAUAUAUUCUUUUUCAGAUUCUUUUCCCUUAUAGGUUAUUACAAACUACUGAGUAUAGUUCCCUGUGCUAUACAGUAGAUCCUUGUUGGUUAUCUGUUUUAUAUGUAGUAGUAUGUGUAUGUUAAUCCCAAACUCCUAAUUUAUCCCUUCCCCCCUUCCAAACUGUAUUUUAAAAUUCAUUUUCUUUAUCACACGUGUGUAUGUAUAUGUGUGUUCCUAAGUACCUUUAAAAAUUUUUCUCUAUACAAUUGCCGCAUGUUCCACAUUUAAGAAGAAAUGUCUCCUGUUUGACGUCUCCUUCCCUGUCUUCUCCAGCUCUCCACAAACAACAACAUCUUUAAAAAUUCAAGAUGGAAAGGAGGUUUGAUCUUUAGUUGGACCUGAUACUGGCAUUUUACAUGGGAUGCUGAAAUAAAGGAAUGCUGUGAUCUAUCUUAGAUUGGUUGACUCUAUAAAAGCAGGAUCACAUAAUUUGUAAUUUCAAAUUCGCUUAACUUUAAAAUCACAUUGAAUCCAUGCAUAUGGAAUGUUUUUUUCAAAACAUUGGCUUCUACUUUGUCCAUAAUCCAGGAAAAAGAAAAAUAAGAGGAAGUGAAGGGGUAAGUUAAAUUGCAAGAAGCAACCAAGAAACUUACUUUUUGCCCGUGGUCAGGUCACGGACCAUGAAAGUAGGGAAGAGUUAAUAAGAAAGCAAUGGGGCUGCACGAGGAGGAGGACGUCUCGAGAUUCUACAUUUUACGUUAAAGGACUGUUCACAUUCCAUUCCAUGGUGUGUCCUUGUCCUGGAGGACUUUCAUUUCAGUAACAGGUGACAGGAACACAUCUGGUGCUGCCUGAGUGAAAUGGCAUCUCAGAAGUGGUGCCCCAGUGAAGGAAGAUCUGUCUUCUUCUUGGCCCUUUCCUGGUAGUGUGAAGGAGCAUGUGGGAUCUCAGCUCCUUGACCAGGGAUCGAACCUGCAUCUCCUGCAUUGGAAGGCGAAGUCUUAACCACUGGACUGCCAGGGAAGUCCCUCAAAUAAAUGUUAUUUAUUUACACCUUGCUCCCGGAAGGACUACAGAUGGAAUAGCUCUGCUAGAGAUUUCAUGAUCUAAAUGGUCACUUAUGAAACUUAAUAAAAAGGAGAAUUGAAUAUAAGAAUACCAAAUUCCAGCUGAGUAUUUACUUACAAUAAUAAAAUUAUCUCUCUUUUAUAGAAGAUUCACUGAGUAGUAGGAACUAGCAGUGAUUGAUGCUUUUACAUCUUUGCCACAGUUAAAUGAGCACAUUUAAUUUUGGAACACAGCUUCUUAAACGUUUUAUAUCCUUCCCACCCCAAGUACCUUGGCAGAUUUAACUCGGGCUAAAGUUGAACUCCCCUCAGUGGGAGCCUGGGGUUACGUGACCACAAUCAAAUUCCUAAAGAAAUGGAAAGUUUCCCAUGGGAAGCAUCUGUCUAAGUUAUUCUUUCCCCAGUGACCAUUGUUUAGACUAGGUUUAGAAAAACUAUAGACUGCUUCAAAUCAAUUCCAAUGCCAGAGACCAAAGAAAGCAUUAGAUCUUUGAACAAAAAUGAAAUAUAUCAGAUAAAAAUGUAGUCAACCUUGUGCUUGUUUCUUCGUGGUCACAAAAAUGUCACCACAGCUCCAGACAUCACAUCUGUGUUUAAGGCAGGAAGAAGAAGAGAGGAGUCAACUCUCUUCUUUUACUUUAUUAGGAUCUACACUAUCUUUUCUACCAUCCCUCUUGCAAACUUUCCUUGACAUUUUAUUGGUCAGAACUGGGUCACAUGGUUUUCCCCUCCCCUACAAAUAUCUCUGGGAAAGUGAGUAUUGACUUUUCAUUCUCUGUAGCAGGGGUCAGCAAACUUGAAGACUGAGACAGUAAAUAUGUUAGGCUUUGCAGGCCACUUGGUCACAACUACUCACCUCUGCCAUGUGAUGCAAAAGCAGCCAUAGAUAAUGUGUACAUGAAUUAACGUGACUGUGUUCCAAUACAACUUUAGUUGUGAACAAUGAAUUUUGAAUUUCAUGUCAUAUUCAUGAAGUAUUAUUCUUCUUUUGAUCUUCCUUCCACCAUUUAGAAGUGUGGAAAUCAUCCUUGGCUCCUGGGCUCUACAAACACAGAACCCCAUUCCUCUGUGUGAGAGAAGGGUGUGAAUGGCUUUGGAAGGCCCACCACGUGCUGCAGCAAAUAGGCCCUAUACCUUGAAUACAGUUUACUGAAAAGUGCUGACAUGUUCAGUCUAUCAAGCAGACAUUAAUUUUCCUGAGAGCAACAAAAAACACCUGCUUCCCAGUCAUGUUCCUUGUCAUGAACAAAGUGAAGUUUACCAGAUACAUUUAACUCAGGAAAUCCGUACUGUUGAUUUUCUGGAUCAGGAAGCCUUAUAUAUUUUACAUAUUUUGUUUUAAGUUGCCCUGUAGUGACUGCAAAACUGGAUCAGACUCUACAUGAGAAAACUCUAGAACAGUCUAGAACUCUAACCAGAAAAUUAUUGACACUAUAACGAAAGCACUUGCAUAAUCCCUCAAAGGUCUGUUUGCAUCAACUUCAUAAAAAUUCAGAGGCAAAAUUACCCUAGAUACUAGUUAAAACAGGAGAGU